rnacentral:rRNA from 1 species
UGAUAGGCCGGGUAUGGAAGCACUGUGAGGUGUGGAGUUGACUGGUACUAAUACGCCGAUCACUCACACAAC